rnacentral:rRNA from 1 species
CGUAGGGUGCGAGCGUUAAUCGGAAUUACUGGGCGUAAAGCGUGCGCAGGCGGUUUUGUAAGACAGGCGUGAAAUCCCCGGGCUCAACCUGGGAACUGCGCUUGUGACUGCAAGGCUAGAGUACGGCAGAGGGGGGUGGAAUUCCACGUGUAGCAGUGAAAUGCGUAGAGAUGUGGAGGAACACCAAUGGCGAAGGCAGCCCCCUGGGUCGAUACUGACGCUCAUGCACGAAAGCGUGGGUAGCAAACAGGAUUAGAUACCCUGGUAGUCCACGCCCUAAACGAUGUCAACUAGGCGUUGGGUGGGUAAAACCAUUUAGUACCGGAGCUAACGCGUGAAGUUGACCGCCUGGGGAGUACGGCCGCAAGGUUA